rnacentral:rRNA from 1 species
GAUGAACGCUGGCGGCGUGCCUAAUACAUGCAAGUCGAGCGAACGGACGAGAAGCUUGCUUCUCUGAUGUUAGCGGCGGACGGGUGAGUAACACGUGGAUAACCUACCUAUAAGACUGGGAUAACUUCGGGAAACCGGAGCUAAUACCGGAUAAUAUUUUGAACCGCAUGGUUCAAAAGUGAAAGACGGUCUUGCUGUCACUUAUAGAUGGAUCCGCGCUGCAUUAGCUAGUUGGUAAGGUAACGGCUUACCAAGGCAACGAUGCAUAGCCGACCUGAGAGGGUGAUCGGCCACACUGGAACUGAGACACGGUCCAGACUCCUACGGGAGGCAGCAGUAGGGAAUCUUCCGCAAUGGGCGAAAGCCUGACGGAGCAACGCCGCGUGAGUGAUGAAGGUCUUCGGAUCGUAAAACUCUGUUAUUAGGGAAGAACAUAUGUGUAAGUAACUGUGCACAUCUUGACGGUACCUAAUCAGAAAGCCACGGCUAACUACGUGCCAGCAGCCGCGGUAAUACGUAGGUGGCAAGCGUUAUCCGGAAUUAUUGGGCGUAAAGCGCGCGUAGGCGGUUUUUUAAGUCUGAUGUGAAAGCCCACGGCUCAACCGUGGAGGGUCAUUGGAAACUGGAAAACUUGAGUGCAGAAGAGGAAAGUGGAAUUCCAUGUGUAGCGGUGAAAUGCGCAGAGAUAUGGAGGAACACCAGUGGCGAAGGCGACUUUCUGGUCUGUAACUGACGCUGAUGUGCGAAAGCGUGGGGAUCAAACAGGAUUAGAUACCCUGGUAGUCCACGCCGUAAACGAUGAGUGCUAAGUGUUAGGGGGUUUCCGCCCCUUAGUGCUGCAGCUAACGCAUUAAGCACUCCGCCUGGGGAGUACGACCGCAAGGUUGAAACUCAAAGGAAUUGACGGGGACCCGCACAAGCGGUGGAGCAUGUGGUUUAAUUCGAAGCAACGCGAAGAACCUUACCAAAUCUUGACAUCCUUUGACAACUCUAGAGAUAGAGCUUUCCCCUUCGGGGGACAAAGUGACAGGUGGUGCAUGGUUGUCGUCAGCUCGUGUCGCGAGAUGUUGGGUUAAGUCCCGCAACGAGCGCAACCCUUAAGCUUAGUUGCCAUCAUUAAGUUGGGCACUCUAAGUUGACUGCCGGUGACAAACCGGAGGAAGGUGGGGAUGACGUCAAAUCAUCAUGCCCCUUAUGAUUUGGGCUACACACGUGCUACAAUGGACAAUACAAAGGGCAGCGAAACCGCGAGGUCAAGCAAAUCCCAUAAAGUUGUUCUCAGUUCGGAUUGUAGUCUGCAACUCGACUACAUGAAGCUGGAAUCGCUAGUAAUCGUAGAUCAGCAUGCUACGGUGAAUACGUUCCCGGGUCU